CGAGUCUUAACCGGGCGUUAAGUUGCAGGGUAUAGACCCGAAACCCGGUGAUCUAGCCAUGGGCAGGUUGAAGGUUGGGUAACACUAACUGGAGGACCGAACCGACUAAUGUUGAAAAAUUAGCGGAUGACCUGUGGCUGGGGGUGAAAGGCCAAUCAAACCGGGAGAUAGCUGGUUCUCCCCGAAAGCUAUUUAGGUAGCGCCUCGUGAACUCAUCUCCGGGGGUAGAGCACUGUUUCGGCUAGGGGGCCAUCCCGGCUUACCAACCCGAUGCAAACUGCGAAUACCGGAGAAUGUUAUCACGGGAGACACACGGCGGGUGCUAACGUCCGUCGUGAAGAGGGAAACAACCCAGACCGCCAGCUAAGGUCCCAAAGUCAUGGUUAAGUGGGAAACGAUGUGGGAAGGCCCAGACAGCCAGGAUGUUGGCUUAGAAGCAGCCAUCAUUUAAAGAAAGCGUAAUAGCUCACUGGUCGAGUCGGCCUGCGCGGAAGAUGUAACGGGGCUAAACCAUGCACCGAAGCUGCGGCAGCGACACUUUAGUGUUGUUGGGUAGGGGAGCGUUCUGUAAGCCGUUGAAGGUGUCCUGUGAGGGGUGCUGGAGGUAUCAGAAGUGCGAAUGCUGACAUAAGUAACGAUAAAGCGGGUGAAAAGCCCGCUCGCCGGAAGACCAAGGGUUCCUGUCCAACGUUAAUCGGGGCAGGGUGAGUCGACCCCUAAGGCGAGGCCGAAAGGCGUAGUCGAUGGGAAACGGGUUAAUAUUCCCGUACUUGGUGUUACUGCGAAGGGGGGACGGAGAAGGCUAUGUUGGCCGGGCGACGGUAGUCCCGGUUUAAGCGUGUAGGCUGGUUUUCCAGGCAAAUCCGGAAAAUCAAGGCUGAGGCGUGAUGACGAGGCACCACGGUGCUGAAGCAACAAAUGCCCUGCUUCCAGGAAAAGCCUCUAAGCAUCAGGUAACAUCAAAUCGUACCCCAAACCGACACAGGUGGUCAGGUAGAGAAUACCAAGGCGCUUGAGAGAACUCGGGUGAAGGAACUAGGCAAAAUGGUGCCGUAACUUCGGGAGAAGGCACGCUGACACGUAGGUGAAGUGAUUUACUCAUGGAGCUGAAGUCAGUCGAAGAUACCAGCUGGCUGCAACUGUUUAUUAAAAACACAGCACUGUGCAAACACGAAAGUGGACGUAUACGGUGUGACGCCUGCCCGGUGCCGGAAGGUUAAUUGAUGGGGUCAGCGCAAGCGAAGCUCCUGAUCGAAGCCCCGGUAAACGGCGGCCGUAACUAUAACGGUCCUAAGGUAGCGAAAUUCCUUGUCGGGUAAGUUCCGACCUGCACGAAUGGCGUAAUGAUGGCCAGGCUGUCUCCACCCGAGACUCAGUGAAAUUGAACUCGCUGUGAAGAUGCAGUGUACCCGCGGCAAGACGGAAAGACCCCGUGAACCUUUACUAUAGCUUGACACUGAACAUUGAGCCUUGAUGUGUAGGAUAGGUGGGAGGCUUUGAAGCGUGGACGCCAGUCUGCGUGGAGCCGACCUUGAAAUACCACCCUUUAAUGUUUGAUGUUCUAACGUGGACCCGUAAUCCGGGUUGCGGACAGUGUCUGGUGGGUAGUUUGACUGGGGCGGUCUCCUCCUAAAGAGUAACGGAGGAGCACGAAGGUUGGCUAAUCCUGGUCGGACAUCAGGAGGUUAGUGCAAUGGCAUAAGCCAGCUUGACUGCGAGCGUGACGGCGCGAGCAGGUGCGAAAGCAGGUCAUAGUGAUCCGGUGGUUCUGAAUGGAAGGGCCAUCGCUCAACGGAUAAAAGGUACUCCGGGGAUAACAGGCUGAUACCGCCCAAGAGUUCAUAUCGACGGCGGUGUUUGGCACCUCGAUGUCGGCUCAUCACAUCCUGGGGCUGAAGUAGGUCCCAAGGGUAUGGCUGUUCGCCAUUUAAAGUGGUACGCGAGCUGGGUUUAGAACGUCGUGAGACAGUUCGGUCCCUAUCUGCCGUGGGCGCUGGAAGACUGAGGGGGGCUGCUCCUAGUACGAGAGGACCGGAGUGGACGCAUCACUGGUGUUCGGGUUGUCAUGCCAAUGGCACUGCCCGGUAGCUAAAUGCGGAAAAGAUAAGUGCUGAAAGCAUCUAAGCACGAAACUUGCCCCGAGAUGAGUCUUCCCUGAGACCUUGAGUCUCCUGAAGGAACGUUAAAGACGAUGACGUUGAUAGGCCGGGUGUGUAAGCGCAGCGAUGCGUUGAGCUAACCGGUACUAAUGAACCGUGAGGCUUAACCUUACAACGCCGAAGCUGUU
rnacentral:rRNA from 1 species